UACGUAGGGGGCAAGCGUUGUCCGGAAUCAUUGGGCGUAAAGAGCGUGUAGGCGGCUUGGCAAGUCUGACGUGAAAGCCCGCGGCUCAACCGCGGUAGGUCGUUGGAAACUGCCUGGCUAGAGUCCGGAAGAGGAGAGCGGAAUUCCUGGUGUAGCGGUGGAAUGCGCAGAUAUCAGGAAGAACACCCGUGGCGAAGGCGGCUCUCUGGGACGGUACUGACGCUGAGACGCGAAAGCGUGGGGAGCGAACAGG
rnacentral:rRNA from 1 species